CCUACGGGAGGCAGCAGUGAGGAAUAUUGGUCAAUGGACGCAAGUCUGAACCAGCCAUGCCGCGUGCAGGAAGACGGCUCUAUGAGUUGUAAACUGCUUUUGUACGAGGGUAAACGCAGAUACGCGUAUCUGUCUGAAAGUAUCGUACGAAUAAGGAUCGGCUAACUCCGUGCCAGCAGCCGCGGUAAUACGGAGGAUUCAAGCGUUAUCCGGAUUUGUUUGGUUUAAAGGGUGCGUAGGCGGUAGGAUGAGUUAGAGGUGAAAACCCGAGGCUCAACUUCGGAAUUGCCUCUGAUACUGUUCGGCUAGAGAGUAGUAGCGGUAGGCGGAAUGUAUGGUGUAGCGGUGAAAUGCUUAGAGAUCAUACAGAACACCGAUUGCGAAGGCAGCUUACCAAGCUACUUCUGACGUUGAGGCACGAAAGCGUGGGGAGCAAACAGGAUUAGAUACCCUUGUAGUC
rnacentral:rRNA from 1 species